GACUAGUUUGCCUGAGAAUUCUGCAUGAGGCUGGCCACAUUCUUGUUUAUAAAACCCAGGUGCAGUGUGGUAUUUAUCAGAAUGUGACAUUUAUCAGAAUGUGACAUUUGAGAUUCUAUAGGACACAUGAGGGGACAAAUAAAUGGACAUGACAUGGGGUAUAGUUUGUGACUGCCAAGUUCAAUAACAUUGUAUUCUCUCUCUUUUUUUUUUGAAAACUGACUCAUAUUUAAAUGACGACUGCUUUUUAUCACAACUUUUCUUUUCCUUUUUAUUUGUUAUUUAUUUAUUUUUAUUCUUUACUCUUUUUUUUUUUUUUUCAGUUCAGACUUUAUUCCCCUCCAGGUCCACACUCCAACUGUUCCACAUACCAUACCUCCCCCCACCUCCAAGAGGAUGUCCUCACCCCCACCAGACCUCCCCACUUCCUGGGGCCCCAAGUCUCUUGAGGGUUAGGUGCAUCUUCUCUGACUGAGUCCAGACCAGGCAGUCCUCUGCUGUAUAUGUGUUGGGGGCUUCAUAUCAGCUGAUGUAUGCUUCAUGGUUGGUGGCUUAGUGUCUGAGAGAUCACAGGGGUACAGGUUAGUUGAGACUGCUAGUCUUCCUAUGGGCUCGCCCUCCUCCUCAGCUUCUUUCAACUUUUUCCUAAUUCAACCAUGGAGGACGGAGGGCUGUCACCAGUUUCUGUCCAUUGGUUGGUUGUAAAUAUCUGCAUCUGACGUUUUCAGCUGCUUGUUGGGCCUUAUUUUUAUGCAUUAGAGGAGAAAUCUACACAGACCACCAAAACGACAGUCUGUUCAGAGCUUGCAUAGGGCAGGUAUCAGGAAACAGCUUUCCCUAUAUUUGAGUUUCAGAAGUCCACAGAUGAGAAAGCUUGACUGUGUGGCAAGGGAAUACCUCAUAUGUACUCUGUGAUUGGAGGCUGUGGGCAUGGGGCAGGAGAAAUCCUUAACUUUCUCUCUGAUGAGUUCUGAGUUGAAAGCAUGAGCAAGAUCUAGGAAAGCUGGCAGUUUUGCUUAGGCCUCCAUCAGUUUAAACCCUUUGCUCUCUAGUGCUUGUACUUUGACUGGUUCCCAGCUGGUUGAGUUUAAAGGGAUGAGUGCCUGAAACAAGCACUAGCUGCUUGCUAGGACAUAGGACAGGUGCACUCUUGUGCUUUCAUUUUGGCUUGCAGUGGGUAGUUUUUAAUGUUCUGAAGACUUAAAUAUAAAAAUGUAUGCUAUCAAAAGAAAUAAUACCAAGAUGUUUUUAUUUCUCAGACAAAUCUGUAAUGCUCUCAUUCUCACUGAGAAAACUGAAAAUAUCUAUGAAGAAAAUUAUGUUUUACAUUCAGGAUAAGUCAUUAAUGAUUUUAUUUCUCCAACUUUAGUGUGUGUAUAUAGUUUUGCAUUUUUGAAAUCAAAUAUUUUGUACUGAGAACCGAAGUCUGGUUUAAGGUCUAUCAUUACUUUGUGUGUGCAUGUGUGUGUACAUUUAUAUUUGCUUGAAGAUCAUGUUGCAGUUCAGGAGUCAAAGAAUUUUAUAAACUCUUGAUAAUGUUCAGGAAAUGUUUGAUGGAUGUUUCCAGAAGUUUCUACAAUGAACAGUCAAAUCAUUUGCUGGGGUUAUAUGUUCUGAAACAGUAAAGUUGUAUUGAUAUAUACAGUAAGUUGUUCAGGGAUUUAAUAGUUUCAGUCUACCGUGUUCAAACUGUGAUUUCCCUUAAACUGUUGAUAUUAUAGAAUGAUAUAUCACCAUGUUAAGAUGGAAUUUCACAACUUUUAUUAAAGAAAUUGAGUUGAGUUCCAUGACCUAGAUUAACUUUGUGGCUAACAAAUCCGUAUUGGAAUUUUUAAAAUUUCGUUUGUGUGUCUAUGGUUGUUGGAGUAGGGAUGUAUUCACAUGCCUAUAUACAUGAAGUGAUGGAGCCAGAAAAGGAUGUUGGGUAUUUAUUAAUUUAGUCAUACUCCUUUGAGACAGGGUCUCUCACUGAACCUAGAGUGUAUGUAGUGGCCAGAAAACUAGUAGUCACUCUAUCUCCAGACUUGGGGUUAUAGGCAAAUAUGGUCAGGCCCCCCUUUUAUUAACAUAGGUGAGUGGCAUCCAAACUCAGGGCCUCCUGCUUGUGUAACUUUUUUCUCCACCACUCUAGCCCCAUCGCAUUCAUUCUCUCCUUACACCAGAUGCGGAUAGAUUUUGAGUUUGAUAUUUAUACAUUUCUUAGGAUAUAUUUUUUUAAUUUUCUAAAAAUACCAUGAAAUACAAGGGUAGCAGUUCUUUUUUUUUUUGUGGAUGAAAAAGAAGUUGAGAGCUUCAUAAGUUCUGAAUAUUUCUACACUGUUCUUUGAAGAAUAGAGUUUUCAAAUUUAAUCUUUUGAUGUAUGUUAUAAAUAAAUCACGAAUACUUAUACUAAUAAACCUAAUGUUACAAUCUUGCCUUGAUUUGAUAUUGGUAGAAUGUGUUGAAGAAUGUUAAAUGUUUGGGUAAAGCAGAUUCUUUUUAAAUUCUGUUUCUAUGUCUAAUGCAUAUUUAUCCCUAUUUUCAUAAGGAUUUCCCAGCGGAUUUCCUACCUUUAAGAGCUGGGUGAAAUAUCAUUAUAUAAAAGAGCAUGGUUUUGGCCGGGUGAUGGUGGCACACACCUUUAAUCCCAGCACAUGGGAGGCAGAGGCAGGCGGAUUUCUGAGUUCGAGGCCAGCCUGGUCUACAGAGUGAGUUCCAGGACAGUCAGAGCUAUACAGAGAAACCCUGUCUCGAAAAAAUAAAAAAACAAAAAAGAAAAGAAAUG
rnacentral:lncRNA from 1 species